UUCGUAGGGUGCGAGCGUUGUCCGGAAUUAUUGGGCGUAAAGAGCUCGUAGGCGGCUUGUCGCGUCGGAUGUGAAAGCCCGGGGCUUAACUCCGGGUCUGCAUUCGAUACGGGCAGGCUAGAGUUCGGUAGGGGAGAUCGGAAUUCCUGGUGUAGCGGUGGAAUGCGCAGAUAUCAGGAGGAACACCGGUGGCGAAGGCGGGGUCCUGGGCCAGUACUGACGCUGAGGAGCGAAAGCGUGGGGAGCAAACAGG
rnacentral:rRNA from 1 species